GACAGAGGGUGCAAACGUUGCUCGGAAUCACUGGGCGUAAAGGGCGUGUAGGCGGGAAGGAAAGUCAGAUGUGAAAUCCCCAGGCUCAACCUGGGAACUGCAUUGAAACUCCCUUUCUUGAGUACCGGAGAGGAAAGUGGAAUUCCUGGUGUAGAGGUGAAAUUCGUAGAUAUCAGGAGGAACACCAGUGGCGAAGGCGCUUUCUGGACCAUGACUGACGCUGGAGGCACGAAAGCGUGGGGAGCAAACGGG
rnacentral:rRNA from 1 species